rnacentral:lncRNA from 1 species
CCAGUCCGCGACCGGGACGAGUGUCGGAGCCGGGAGCUGCGGCCGCUGGGAGGGAAUUCGUGGGAGCUGUCGCUGGCGGCUGCUCGAGGCCGGGUUCCCGCGUCACUGAGGCCGGAUUCCCGCUGCAGGCACCRCGUCCACGGAAGCUCCGACGGCGGCGUCCGUGCGGGGCACCCACCAGAUGCUUCAUGUUUGUCUCUCCGUUGCCCUCUUGAGUUCAAAACGUGCAAGACACCAUUUUGAUAGUAGCUGGACGCGGCUGAAUGUUACAUAUUUCUCUCUUGAAAAGCCUGUAUAACGUGUCAGGAUAUGCUUUUUUCAGACACCACCACCUUCAUUAAGAUACUACUCAUUACCUGGAAAGCUUGCUGGACUGUAACCUCAGAUGCGAAGCCGCUUUUGUUAAAUGGUCAUCAGGUUUCUGAGCCACUCGCCUGGCAGUUGAGCAUCGGUGUUUGGAGUGAUUUCAGUUUUGGAGACAUACGGGAUGAGAAGACUCUGAAGUUGCCCGCUCGGCUCAGCGGUGUUGCAGGGGGGCUGCCGGUGGCUGCAAUGACUGACAGGCUGCCCUGGCUCAGUUAUCACAGUGCUGAUGCUGUCUCUUGUAAAGAAGCCUGAAGGGACCCUGGGACCUGGACUGAAACGCGCUCAUCCCCUAACUGAAAGCUCAGCGGACAUAGCCUCCAUCUCUUUUUCCUGUAGCUUCCUACUGAUAUCAUAGUUGGACAGACUUAUUAUAAAUACUGGUGGGUUUGCUAUGUCUAAAUAUUGCUACACACGAACAAUGCAGCUAUCAAGUCUUUUUUGGCAGUGGAGCACUUCCUCCCACAAACUGUGUUGAAGAAAGAUGUAAACAACAUGCAUACAGUGAUCACAUCACUUUCUACUCAGAAAUAAGCUCUCUGAGGACCACCAGUUUU